rnacentral:lncRNA from 1 species
UCUCAUCCAUUGUCUUGUCAACAUCAUCAAUGUUCCUAUAUGUAAGCCUUGUCAAAGUUGAGUUGCUAAAGAAUAUACGUAUUGUGAAGAAUACUAAGAUAUCAAUAGUACGCAAUUUAUCUAUACCGGAUUGUUGAAGAGCAAAAUGAUGCCACCCUAGCUGGAUUUUUGGAACCCCCGAAAUAGAGGAGCAGAGAAAUAUUGCAGAGACAACAGAUGCAGUCGCCGGCCAAGAGGGAAGAAAGAAGAAGAUAUGAUUUGAGCAGCUUGUGUGAAUUGUGAUGACUUGGGCUAUUGGGCCUUUUUUUUUUAAAAAAACAAAUAGAGUGGCCCAAAUCAAUGAAAUCGUCCAUUAAUGAUUAGGGAAAAUUAGGUGUAGUACCCUAAAAAAUUUAAAUAUUUGAUUAAUACCUUAAAACUAAUUUAAAACUAUUAUUACCGUAUUAAUUACGUUCAAGACUCACGAAAAAAACACCCAAAUCUGAAACCCCUGCAAUAAAAAAAAAC